rnacentral:rRNA from 1 species
CCUGCACGAAGUCGGAAUUGCUAGUAAUCGUAGGUCAGCAUACUGCCGUGAAUACGUUCCCGGGCCUUGUACACACCGCCCGUCACACCAUGAGAGUUAGGAAUACCCGAAGCCUGUGAGCUAACUUUUAGAGGCAGCAGUCGAAGGUAGAACUAAUGAUUGGGGUGAAGUCGUAACAAGGUAAC